rfam:Alicyclobacillus acidoterrestris ATCC 49025 contig_123, whole genome shotgun sequence.
UGGGGAAUAGCCAAGCGGUAAGGCAACGGUUUUUGGUACCGUCAUGCGAAGGUUCGAAUCCUUCUUCCCCAG